CCAAUAGCGUAUAUUAAAGUUGUUGCAGUUAAAAAGCUCGUAGUUGAAUUUCGGGAUCAAGGAAUCGGUCAUGCCUCGGUAUGUACUGGUUUUAUUGGUUCUCACCUUCUAAAGAACCAUAAUGUCAUUUAUUUGAUGUUAUGGGGAAUUAGGACUGUUACCUUGAAGAAAUUAGAGUGUUUAAAGCAGGCUCGCGCUUGAAUACAUUAGCAUGGAAUAAUGAAAUAGGACGUUUGAUUCUAUUUUGUUGGUUUCUAGGAUCGACGUAAUGAUUAAUAGGGAUAGUUGGGGGCAUUAGUAUUCAAUUGUCAGAGGUGAAAUUCUUGGAUUUAUUGAGGACUAACUACUGCGAAAGCAUUUGCCAAGGAUGUUUUCAUUAAUCAAGAACGAAAGUUAGGGGAUCGAAGACGAUCAGAUACCGUCGUAGUCUUAACCAUAAACUAUGCCGACUAGGGAUCGGAUGAUGUUAAUUUUUUAAUGACUCAUUCGGCGCCUUACG
rnacentral:rRNA from 1 species